rnacentral:rRNA from 1 species
CCGGCGCACGGGUGAGUAACACGUAUGCAAUCCACCUGUAACAGGGGGAUAACCCGGAGAAAUCCGGACUAAUACCCCAUAAUAUGGGCGCUCCGCAUGGAGAGCCCAUUAAAGAGAGCAAUUUUGGUUACAGACGAGCAUGCGCUCCAUUAGCCAGUUGGCGGGGUAACGGCCCACCAAACCUUUGAUGGAUAGGGGUUCUGAGAGGAAGGUCCCCCACAUUGGAACUGAGACACGGUCCAA